GCCGGGCGUGGUGGUGCACGCCUUUAAUCCCAGCACUUGGGAGGCAGAGGCAGGUGGAUUUCUGAGUUCGAGGCCAGCCUGGUCUAAAAGUGAGUUCAAGGAUAGCCAGUGCUAUACAGAGAGACCCUGUCUCCAAAAACAAAACAAAACAAAAAAAGAAGUGUAGUUGACUGGGCAAUAGAAAUAACAAGAGAUAGCAUUUUUUACUCUACACUUUAUUUGUGGUUUUUGUUUUUGUUUUUCGAGACAGGGUUUCUCUGUAUAGCCUUGGCUGUCCUGGAGCUCACUUUGUAGACCAGGCUGGCCUCGAACU
rnacentral:lncRNA from 1 species